AGCCCACUCUUUCCGAUCAAUAAAAAUCCAAAUUGAUGGUAUGAAAAUGUUCGUCUUGGUGAGAGGGUUGGAACGAUAUAUGAUAUGCCCAGAAAUUCAUUGGGACGACGCAGAAAUCUUAGACAGAAGACUCCGACGAAAAGGGGCGAUCCCGUCGACUUCGGCCGGCGUGCGAGGGCGUAUCCGGCAUCGGUUCACGGUUAAAUUUGAAUCGGUUCUUAAUUUCCAAAGAGAAAAAGAUUAUAUGGAAAUACAUGUUGUUGGGAGACAAAAAGCGACAACCCAAAAACCAAAGAAUUUGAUUGUUUGGUUGACAGCAGCCAAUUCUUGAAGUGCUGCUUCAUCAGUGCAGUCUCAAGGCAAAGCCAGAUUGAAAGGGAUCAAGAGACAUUAUGGAGAAGCCUUCCACUAGCAAUGUCAAUGGUAGCUUUCAGUCUGAGUUAAAUGAAGAGGUAAAGGAUUCAAUCAGCAGUUCUGCUACUAACAUCAUCCUUAACCAUGAUUUCUCUGGAGGACUUCAUUUGUGGCAUCCUAAUUGCUGCAAUGGAUUUGUGGUACCCUCGGAGUCUGGUUAUCCUCAGUGGCUGUCAUCUAAAUUAAGAGGACAUUUUGUUGUUAUUACAAACCGGACAGAAUGUUGGCAAGGCCUCCAACAAGACAUCACUAACAGAGUUUCUUGCCAAAUAGUUGUGGUCUUAGGGACAAUCUGAGAGGAAGCAUGCGAAGUUGUGUAAAAAGCACUACAAUUUGCAUGUGUUGUUGCUUUUCUUGAGCUCUGCAAUGUAUUGCUACCGUUUUUGCUAUGUAAUGAUUGGAGAGAUUUGCUAUGCUAUUGCGCUCGAUUGUAUUGUAUAAAAAACACUCUAAAUAUGGCUUCAA